rnacentral:tRNA from 1 species
GCGCCCGUAGCUCAGCUGGAUUAGAGCGUCGGUCUCCGAAGCCGAAGGUCACAGGUUCGAAUCCUGUCGGGCGCACCA